GUAAGAGGCGCCCUCCUCCGCCGCCGCCGUGGCCUCCCGAGCGCGGGCUGGCGCGGGUGCGGGGCGGGGCGCGGCGGGUGGGUGCGCGCCGAGCCGGGCCGGGGCGGGGGCGCGCGGCAGUGGCCGCGCACGGAAGCUCGGGCGCUCGUGCCCGGCGGUGCGUUCGCGGCCUUGGCCCCCGCGCCGACCCCCGCCGCCGAGAGGACGGGAGAGCUGCGCCGCUGGCCCCCUGGCGUGCGCGGCCGGCGUCAGUCCCGGAGGCGUGGGCGGCCGCGCCGUGCGCUGCCCGGCGGCCCUGGUGCGGGAGGCCUGGUUCUGCGUCACCGCCCCUCCCUUCGUCUGCGUGGUUUGGUUCUUGGGACCUGGUAGAGGGUAGGCCGGCCCGGGGCGUUCCGUGUGCUGUCACUGCGUGGGAAAGGCUUCAGGACAGCGGGCCCUGUAGCGGGAUUCGGGACGCCGCCGUGCUCGGAGGCUUCGGCGGAUUGACGGCCGGGUCGGAGAGGGCAGGGAAGGCGGCGUCGUCGACCAUGCGAAGCGUGGAGGCAGAACAUGCUGGCAUCGUGUUGAUGAGGAUUCCAAUCUGCAUGGCAGACGCAGUCUCACUGUAACGCUCUGAAGCUCGAGGGCUGCAGGUCAUCCCAGGAAGGUGGAAGCUUUCUCCCCAUGGGGGUUUGAACCUCACAGAUCGGGCCCAAGGAGAAGCCAGCUGGGAAUUCCACCCUGUGUGAUACUUCACUCCCCUCAAACUUUUCUGACCUUUGUGUUGAGACAGAGUUUCACUCUUGCCCAGGCCGACCAUGAACUUUUGGGCUCAAGUGAUCCUUCUGCCUCAGCCUCCCACGUAACUGGGACUACAGGUGUGAACCACCCCAUCUGGUCCCUUUCUGCACCUUGAUAGGUUGUGCAUUACAGCUUUCCCUGUGUCUCGUGGUUUUUUCUCUUGGAGUUUUUAUUUUAAAAACAUUUCCUCAAGCAUUUACAGUGUGCCAGACACUAUUUUGAGACCUUUAUGAAUAACAAAUCAUUCUUAGACUGAGGUUUUGGGACCAAAGAUUGUGGACUUUAAAACUCAUUUUCUUUUUAAAUACCAAAAACACUCAGAAAAAAAGCUAACAAUAAGGAGGGCAAGAGGAAGGAAAGUUAUAAAAGAAAGAAGACUUCUCCAUUAAUUUCAUCUCUCCCUCUAGAAGUGGGACUGCUGAUAGAAGCUUGGUGUCUUUAGGUCUGGCACUUACAACUCACAAAUACAAAGUACAGUACUCUUGUCAAAGGUGUUUGGUUUUUUCCCCAACACCGCCUUGCAGCUGACCUUUUCCAUUGCUGAUGUCAGGUGCCCGGGGCAAACCCAUUGCUGUCCCCAGGGCAGAUCCACCAUGUCUGGGCUGGGUGGCAGCAGUUGGGAGAGACCCUUCAGGACAGGCCUGCUCUGUGCACUCCCUCAGGGAGGGCACGGAUCCACAUCCCGAGCCUUGACAGGCCGUGUCCAUCUUCUGGCUUUGUUCUGUACCUUAGCUUGGAAGAAACCUACCCAGGCCACACCAACAGCAAAGGAAAAAUACUCCUUUCUUUCUCUUAACUAACAAAAAACUAAUUCUUUUGCAAAUUGUUAAUUAAGAUGAGGGUAUUAUUACACUUACCCAAAUAUGCAAGCUCCAGUUUCAGCCCAGCUACAGUAACACUCUGGAGUGCUUAGUCCUGAUUUGCUUCCAGAAAACUAAAUACAGAUUGAGAAUCUCUUCCAAAAUGCCUUGGGUCAGAAGUGUUUUGGAUAUUGGAUUUUCUUGGAUUUUGGAAUAUUUUGUGCAUGUGCAUGUGUAAUGCAGUAUCUUGGGAAUGGGACCCAAGACUAAACAUGAAAUUUCAUUUAUGUUUCAUAUAUACCUUAUACACAUCACCUAAGUGGAGUUUUAUACAAUAUUUUAAAAUAAUUUUGUGCAUGAAGCAAAUAUCAUGGAGUGGAAUUUAGUGGCAUCAUGCCAGAGCUCAGAAGUUUGAAGAUUUUCAAAAGAAUUAUGAUGUUAUGUACAUGUUCCAGCUCCCCAUGAUGAAUGUAAUCAUUCUGUACUGCAAACAUGAACUCAUAAAAAUAAAAAUUAAAAGAAAGUUUUGGGGCUUUGGAGCAUUUGGAUUUCAGAUGUUUGGAAGGAAGAUACUUAGCCUAUACCAGUUUCCAUUCACUGUUGAUCUCUCACCCUACCCUGUCUUGAAUUGUGGGGAUUAUUUUUUUUUAAACUAAAAAAGGCAAAUCUAGGCUAAAUUGAAAAUGAUAUCUCAUUUUAAUUUGUACUUUUAUAAUGAUUAAGUGAACCUUUUUGCAUAUCUUGUUAACCAUUUUUAUUUCCAUUUUCAAAAUUACCAGUAUUUUGCCUAUUUACUGCAUUUAAAUGAUUUUUAAAUAAAUUAUACAAAUUCUCCAAAAACGAGUACAUACAUGCCCACUGUAAAAAGAAAAUUUUUGUAUGUGAAUGUUUUUCCUGUUUAUUGUUUGCCAUCUCACUUUGGCUUUACAGUUUUAUCAUUUUUGUUUUGUUUUGUUUUUUUGGUACUGGGAAUUGAAUUCAGGGCCUCACGAUUGCCAGGCAGGCACUGUACCACUGAGCUAUAUUCCCAUCCCUCAUUUUGGCUUUGGAGUUAAUCAUAAAAGUACUUUUUCUUCUUCUGUAGAAGGAAUUUAUCCUUUUUUAUUUCUUCUUUUGCUUAUAAUCUUUAAAAUGUUUUUAUCUCAUUCACUAUUAUUACCUGACUUUAAAAGCUGCUAAUCAGUUUCAUUUCAGAUUUUAACAAGAUAUUUGAUAAAAGCAUUGUGUAAUAUUUUAAAAUCCAUUUUAAUUAGAGGUCUAUGUUUUAAAGAUGUUUACAUUUUUUUUAAAAAAUAAUUUAU
ensembl:lncRNA